rnacentral:rRNA from 1 species
UACGUAGGUCUCAAGCGUUAUCCGGAUUUACUGGGCGUAAAGUGUCCGUAGUCUGAAUUGUAAGUCUGUCUUCAAAGACCACGACUAAAUCGUGGGAAGGGGGUGGAUACUGCAAUUCUGGAAGUAUCUGGGGGUAAGUGGAAUUUCCGGUGGAGCGGUGAAAUGCGUUGAUAUCGGAAGGAACGCCGAAAGCGGAAGCAGCUUACUACAGAAUACUUGACGAUGAGGGACGACAGUUUGGGUAGCAAAC